rnacentral:lncRNA from 1 species
GCCGCGCGCGCGGAGCGAGCGCUCGUAGCCUCCCCGCCCCUCCUGCAACGCACGACCCCGGGAUCCCCCAACCCCUCCCGGCUCUCCUGCCGCCAUGGCUGACAAGGAAGCGGCCUUUGACGACGCGGUGGAAGAACGUGUGAUCAACGAGGAGUACAAGAUAUGGAAGAAGAACACCCCAUUUCUUUAUGAUUUGGUGAUGACCCAUGCCCUGGAGUGGCCCAGCCUAACUGCCCAGUGGCUUCCAGAUGUGACCAGAAUUUGGAGGUUUUGGUUCUGUCAGUGGGAAAAUUGAAAUAGAAAUCAAGAUCAACCAUGAAGGAGAAGUAAACAGGGCCAGGUACAUGCCUCAGAACCCUUGCAUCAUUGCAACGAAGACUCCAUCCAGUGAUGUUCUUGUUUUUGACUACACAAAGCACCCUUCUAAACCAGACCCUUCUGGAGAAUGCAACCCAGACUUGCGUCUCCGUGGGCAUCAGAAGGAAGGUUAUGGGCUUUCUUGGAAUCCAAAUCUCAGCGGGCACUUACUUAGUGCUUCAGAUGACCAUACCAUCUGCCUGUGGGACAUCAGUGCAGUUCCC